AGGACGAACGCUGGCGGCGUGCUUAACACAUGCAAGUCGAGCGGAAAGGCCCUUCGGGGUACUCGAGCGGCGAACGGGUGAGUAACACGUGAGCAACCUGCCCUUAGCUCUGGGAUAGCUCCGGGAAACCGGAAUUAAUACCGGAUACGACCUAGGCCGACAUCGGCCAUGGUGGAAAGUUUUUCGGCUAGGGAUGGACUCGCGGCCUAUCAGCUAGUUGGUGGGUAAAGGCCUACCAAGGCGAUGAC
rnacentral:rRNA from 1 species